UUUCAGGACGCCGUGGUGCUCACGCAGGACCAGGGGCACCCAGCGCCCACCGACGGGUGCCCCCAUCCCGCCACGGCUCCGCUCGGCUGCAGCACCGCAGCGCUGGACUCAGGGGCAGCCACAGCGAGCGCAGACAUCCCGGAGGACGUGGCGGACAUCCAGCAUCUCCUGGCAUGGCUCAACGACGGUGAGUUUGGGGGCAGCAGAGCUGGCGGGGGGUUGCUGCCACCCACCCAGCCACCCACGCACCCCCACUGGGUGUGGGAAAGAAAGCUGGCAUUGCCCCACUGGGCAUUUUCUGCCUUUUCCAGAAGUGACAUCCAAGACAGGCAUCCUGGACGACGACGCAGACAUCGAUGACCUGCUCACGUGGAUCAACAACGAAGAGACACCCAGCACCCACAGACUUGACAACGAUGAUGUGGAAAUGGACCGUUUGCUCACCUGGAUUGACGAAGCGGCUCUGGAGAGUGCUCUGGAGGUCCCCCAGCACAAGCAGGACCUGCCCGGUGUCACAAGAGAGGGGACCAAAGCCACUGCAAACAGCUGCCAAACGCAAGAGCUGAUGCAGCGCAUCACUGCCACGGAGCCACUGAGCCCUGAUGUCUCCAGCAGCCUCGACUCCUCUUCUUCCAGCACAGAGCACUCGGACUCCUCCGGGGCCAGCAGGGAGCUGAGCAAAGAGACACAUCCUGAAUCAGGGCUCCUCAGCAACUCGCUCUGCUGGCAGCCAGCAUCCCCUGAGCUGCCCGUGCCGACGCCCCUGGCUGCCCCUGCGCCUCCGUCGCCCCGCACUGCACAUCUGAUGGAAGAGGCGCGGCGGAGGCAGCC
ensembl:lncRNA